UCAGACACCAAUUGCAAGUCAAGGCCUCCCACACUUCUGACCAAAUAGCUAUAAAUCAGAGGUUCCCACAACCCCUUCCUGAGGUUCAGUGAUUUGCUAGAACAGCUCACAGAACUCAGAGGAACACUGUACUUCCUAUUACCAGUUUAUUAUAAAGGCUAUAAACUCAGGAUCAGUCAAAUGGAAGACAGACACAAAGCAAGCUCUUUGUCCCCAGGCUAGAGCAUCUCCUCUUCGAGGUUGGUGGCAGUGCUGGAAUCCCGCAUCCAAUGGGAGGCAUCACCCCCAGUAAACCUCUUGUCCUCUAACUCCAUCUUACCAUCUACUUCAUGGAGGACCUAACUGACACACCAGCCAAAGCCAGAUGGGGUCUCCAGAGGCAAGAGAAGAAAGGAGGUCCCUGCAGCAGACCAAGAAGCUGAACCCAAAGUCCAGCCAGUGAUCUCUUACACGACCAUAAAGCAAGCUUUCUUUGGAGAUAACAGGAAGUGGUAACGUGUCUUCUAUGCUAUUAAGAAUCAAGUAUCAUUUUUUUAAAAAAACUUGUGUCCA
rnacentral:lncRNA from 1 species